ACAUAACGUGACCAUCGCGGUUCUGCGGGCACGUUGCCCGGAGCCAAGAGGGAAUGCGGUGCGCGCGGUUUUGGAUCGCGCAAGUCCGGAGCUGCCCCCGCAACUGUAGACGGUGAGCCUGUCCAUCGAUGCCACUGAGGCGAAAGCCUCGGGAAGGCCGGACGUAAGGCGUUGAACCGUGAGCCAGGAGACCUGCCGCGAUCACAUUACGUCC
rnacentral:ncRNA from 2 species